GGCUGGUUAGCUCAGCUGGUCAGAGUGAGGAGCUAAUAAUCCUGAGGUCACGGGUUCAAUCCCCAUACUUGCCA
rnacentral:tRNA from 1 species